ensembl:lncRNA
AACUUUAAACAUUAAACAAUUUUAAUAAAAGUUUCUGUACAAUGCUAAGCAGUUUUAUUUACAUAUAGAAAAUGUAAUAGGAGUAGUGUUUGAAAUUACAGAACUCCUUAAAAUUUCAAUGGCAGGUAAUCUGGAAAAAAUAACAGCAUUCCAUUCACAAAUAUUUUCAAGCAAUAAAUAUGUAUUUAUAAAUAGUGUAAAUUUACAUCAAGAUUAGAAACAAAAAUCACAAAUCUGAAGUUUAUUCCUUAGUCUAUGUGCAACCCAUUUAUCUUUGUGACUUGGCUGUUAAUUGUUUUAAAUUUUAUUUAGGAACCAAAAGUGUAACCGUCAUGGUUUCAAAACAAGACAGAAAAACAUAAAAGCAGUAAAAAAAUUUAUAUCACCUAACUCUUCACAUUAAAAAAAAAGAAAAAAAAAAGGGGGAGAAAAAAAAAAAGUUGCCCAAAGAAAGACUUAAAAUUUCUAACUACCUUACAAAGAAAUGACCAGCUAAGCUAGUACUUUUUCCAAGGGAAAUUCUGAAGGGGAAAAAUGGAUGAAACCAACUCAUCAGCCCAGAAACAGAGAAAUACAAAAGAGGUGGUCUUCAAGUCAGUAGUCUGUAUAAUGUUGCCAGUUUUGUCAGAUAUAUACAAAACAUGGAAUUAUUUUUUUGAAGUACAGCUGGAUGAGCUUUAUUUGUUUUGAGUUCUGGAGUAGGAGGCAGUGCUCUCUCCUGUCCAGUUGGUUGACACUCCGCACUUGGAAGGUUGCAUAGACACAGCUUUCAGCCAGCAGCCUUACGGGAUAGCUACAAAAAUCAGUGGUGCAGAACUGGGUCACUUCCUGAAUAUCAGAAAAGUUUUCAUUUAAUGUCCAUGAAAAAAUGUCAAGAUGAGGAGGAUGGCAAUGGAGGAGCCUGAAAAAGAAAACAUUAAAUUACCUUUUCUACAAGGGUGUAGAACUCCGUUGUUUAACUAAAACCUGCACAAAUUAUAACCAUGAGAGUUUUAAGUCACAGGCACUACUGUUUUUAUACUUCUGGACUCUUUCAAGUGGACACUGGUGUUUUCUUCCAACUUACUCAGAUACAACGUGCAUUUUAUGACUACUCUGCAUUAGGAUUUUGCCUAUACUGCAGAUUGGAGUAUGCUGCGGGGAUGUCUGUGUUAACACAAUGUGAGCUGCCAAAAUAAGUCCCACUGUGGCAGCAAAGAGCUCCGUCUGGGCUCGGUAUAGAUUUAUCUUUAAAUACUCUAAAACAGGGAUUCUCAACCUGUUUAUCAGUGAGGGAAGGACUGUCCAUUUGUGGCUCUCCAAAAGCCUUGUGGGCUUCAUUUCCCCCCCUUCUACCUAAACAACAAUACAGAACCCUGAAGUUCUGAAGUAAGGAGAUCUGUGGUAAGGAUCUCAGAUCCUCUUAUCCUCUUACGAGGAGAAAGGUGUUCGGUUUUUUUUUUAAUCAUGGAAGACACCACCUGAGUGGCUCAAGAGUGAAGUAAGCUAGGUGUCUUGCUCCUGCCUGCUUUCAGGAGACAAGGUCUAGAAGAUACCCAACUAUUACCCAUUACUGCACUCUGCGGCAUUGCCAUCGAAAUACUGAAUCUUUGAUGGCACUUCCUUCUCUUCUUUUCCUGCUCAUCAGUCUCAUCAUGACAUGGAAUCCCUUCAAGGAGCUGCCUGCAGUCUUUAAAGACAUUUUAAAUCAUAUCAUAGUACCCACCUAUGAACCCCUAACACUAGCUGAUCCCCAUUUGCUCCAAAUACUGUAUCCCAAACAUGGAACCUCUUUGUUAGGCCUACUGCACCUUUGCCAUCUGAAAUUAUCUUCACCCUGUGACUUGCAACAAACCAUAACUCUUCUGAUGUCAACUUUUAGGCUGUGACUCUCUCAAUUGAGACUGUAUCCCCUUUUAAAAGAAAUGAGUGUGUGCACCACUUUCAGAGAAGAACAAUUAUUAAUGCCCUUUAGGGCUGCAAGCAUAGGCUCUGGUGGGGGAGGGAGCCACUCACAGGUUGAGAACCCUUGUUCUAGGGACAAUAUAACUGUUACCUAUAAAUGUUAUAAACACAGACAACAAAAUACCCUUCCCUCUCCCCUCUUUUCCAUACAGAAACAUUCUUGCCCAUUUCCACUCAACUGGAUGACAUAUCUGAGAACAGGUGGUUAUUUAUAUGCUUUUCUAUAACAUCACUUUGAAAUCACCAUAUUUCGCAAACUGUAAAGACAAUGGGCUCCUAGAAGUAUGAACUGAAGUUCAGCCACCUCAGGUUCUGUAGGACCAAUGAAAAGAAUUAAAUUCAGAGGAUGUGGUCCCGCACGUUUUCCAGCCUCUACUGCUGAACCUUGAGGCCUUGGCUCAAAAGGUCUCAACUUAUCAUGCUAGCAUUACAUGAAAUAAC